GGUGUGCGAUAGACUUACCUCCACGUGGUGCAUACUGGGCAACGUAUACUCAUACGGCAAAAAAAGUCUAU
rnacentral:ribozyme from 1 species